rnacentral:rRNA from 1 species
GGCGGUUGAAGAUGAAUGUGCGUCUGAUUAGCUUGUUGGUGAGGUAACGGCUCACCAAGGCGAUGAUCAGUAAGGGCGUGAGAGCGUGGCCCCUCACAUGGACACUGAGACACGGGUCCAACUCCUACGGGAGGCAGCAGUAAGGAAUAUUGGUCAAUGGGCGCAAGCCUGAACCAGCCAUGCCGCGUGGAGGAUGAAGGCGCUCUGCGUUGUAAACUUCUUUGGUCGGAGACGAAACCCGUCCCUGCGGGGGCGGCUGACGGUAUCCGAAGAACAAGCACCGGCUAACUCCGUG